rnacentral:tRNA from 1 species
UGGACGGAUGCUCGUUGGUUUGGGCGUUUAGCUGUUAACUAAAAGUUUGUAGGAUCGAGGCCUACUCGUCCAG